GAUGAACGCUGGCGGCGUGCCUAACACAUGCAAGUCGAGCGAGAACCGCUGGAAUGACACUUCGGUAGAAUGAAAGCGGGAAAGCGGCGGACGGGUGAGUAACGCGUAGGUAACCUGCCCCAUACACAGGGAUAGCCUAGGGAAACCUGGAUUAAUACCUGAUGAAGCAACUGGUCGCAUGACCGGCUGCCAAAGAUUUAUCGGUAUGGGAUGGACCUGCGUCUGAUUAGUGAGUUGGUGGGGUAAUGGCCUACCAAAGCGACGAUCAGUAGCCGACCUGAGAGGGUGAUCGGCCACAUUGGAACUGAGACACGGUCCAAACUCCUGCGGGAGGCAGCAGUGGGGGAUAUUGCACAAUGGGCGGAAGCCUGAUGCAGCAACGCCGCGUCGAGCGAAGAAGGUCUUCGGAUCGUAAAGCUCUGUCCUGGGGGAAGAAACAAAUGACGGUACCCCGGGAGGAAGCCCCGGCUAACUACGUG
rnacentral:rRNA from 1 species